rnacentral:rRNA from 1 species
AACGAACGCUGGCGGCGUGCUUAACACAUGCAAGUCGAACGAAGUGGCGAACGGGUGAGUAACGCGUAAUCAACCUGCCCUUCAGGGGGGGACACCAGUUGAAAGCGACUGCUACUAACGCAUACGGAAGGAGGGGCUUGCGGUUGAGUAGCUAGGUGGGGGGGUAACGGACGCCCAAGGCGAGGGUCAGUAGCCGGUCUGAGAGGGUGAACGGCCACAAUUGGAAUUAGACACGGCCCCGACUCCUAAGGGAGGCAGCAGGGGGGAAUCUUCCGCAAUGGACGAAAGUCUGACGGAGCAACGCCGCGGGAGUGAUGACGGCCUUCGGGUUGUAAAGCUCCGUUAAGCGGGACGCGGUACCGGAAUAGAAAGCCACGGCUAACUACGUGCCAGCAGCCGCGGUAAUUC